AUUGAACGCUGGCGGCAUGCUUUACACAUGCAAGUCGAACGGCAGCACGGGUGCUUGCACCUGGUGGCGAGUGGCGAACGGGUGAGUAAUGCAUCGGAACGUGCCCAUGAGUGGGGGAUAGCCCGGCGAAAGCCGGAUUAAUACCGCAUACGCCCUUAGGGGGAAAGCGGGGGGAUCUUCGGACCUCGCGCUAUUGGAGCGGCCGAUGUCGGAUUAGCUAGUAGGUGAGGUAAAGGCUCACCUAGGCGACGAUCCGUAGCUGGUCUGAGAGGAUGAUCAGCCACACUGGGACUGAGACACGGCCCAGACUCCUACGGGAGGCAGCAGUGGGGAAUUUUGGACAAUGGGCGCAAGCCUGAUCCAGCCAUGCCGCGUGAGUGAAGAAGGCCUCGGUU
rnacentral:rRNA from 1 species